rnacentral:rRNA from 1 species
UACAGAGGUGGCGAGCGUUGUUCGGAUUUACUGGGCGUAAAGGGUGCGUAGGUGGUUUUGUGUGUCUGAUGUGAAAUCCCACUGCCCAACGGUGGAACGGCAUUGGAAACUACAGGACUAGAGUGCAGGAGGGGAGAGCGGAAUUCUUGGUGUAGCGGUGAAAUGCGUUGAUAUCAAGAGGAACACCGGUGGCGAAGGCGGCUCUCUGGAAUGCAACUGACACUGAGGCACGAAAGCUGGGGGAGCAAACAGG